GAUGAACGCUGGCGGUGUGCUUAACACAUGCAAGUCGAACGAAGCACCUUGAUUUCUUUGGAAUGAUUGGUGACUGAGUGGCGGACGGGUGAGUAACGCGUGGGUAACCUGCCUCACACAGGGGGAUAACAGUUAGAAAUGACUGCUAAUACCGCAUAAGACCACAGUACCGCAUGGUACAGUGAUAAAAACUCCGGUGGUGUGAGAUGGGCCCGCGUCUGAUUAGCUAGUUGGUGAGGUAACGGCCCACCAAGGCGACGAUCAGUAGCCGACCUGGGAGGGUGAGAGGCCACAUUGGGACUGAGACACGGCCCAAACGCCUACGGGAGGCAGCAGUGGGGAAUAUUGCACAAUGGGCGGAAGCCUUAUGCAGCGACGCCGCGUGAAGGAUGAAGUAUUUCGGUAUGUAAACUUCUAUCAGCAGGGAAGAAAAUGACGGUACCUGACUAAGAAGCCCCGGCUAACUACGUGCCAGCCGCCGCUGUAAUAC
rnacentral:rRNA from 1 species